CUGGAUUGGUAUUAGCCCACCCUAAAAUUAUUUUGAGAUUUUGUAUUAUUAUUAUUUUUUUUAAUUAUUUUUUUUUAACCAAAUGCAGUAAAACAAUAAAUACGAGCCACCAAGGAGGCACGUUAAUCUGAACACAAGUUCCUGUUUGCUUAUUCAUUGUUUAAUACAAUUAUUAAUAUCGUGCCUAAAUAUUCCUCAUUGGCUCCGCGUUCAGUUUCACGUCACGUCACGUGGCACGCGGGCAUCAGCUGGACCAUUGUUGUGAUAGCAGAUGCUUUGCAGUGCAGCAUCGGAAGCGCGUCCUUUUAAACCCGAUGGGUAUACGAAAGUUUUUCAAAAAGCGAGAGGACACAGCAGAGGAGGAGGAGAGGAGAGAAGGAGGAGAAGAGGUUGAGGCAGAAAGACAGACAGUGGACGAGAGUGAGGAAGGGAGUCCAGGUUCAGAGGAGGUCGAACAAAUAGAUCUGCAGGGAGACAUAGAGGGAUCUGAGAAAGAGGCAGAAGGUGAACAAGCAGGCCACCAUGAGGAAGAAAAAGACCAAGCAGCUGCUGCUCCCCUUUGUGGUUUAGGUAACAAAGACACAGGUCCCAGGCAGGUGAAGCUGAAUAGCUAUCCACAGGAGAGCUUUGGUGCACAGAAAAGGGCAUUUAACCACAGCUGGUUUGCUAGGUACCAUUGGUUAGAGUACUCAGUUAGCCGGGAUGCUGCAUUCUGCUUCCCAUGUAGAGUGUUUGGAAAAAACAUUAGAAAUGACACUUUCAUUAGCAGUGGUUGCAGACAGUGGAAGAAAGCUUUGGCUUUCUUCAACAAGCAUGACUCUGCACAGUCCCACAAGGACAGUGUAGCAGCAUGGAGGGGGUACCAGGCAACCUCCCAGCAUGAUUAUGAAUGGCGAACCACUUGCCCUCUUCCAUUGCAUUGUUUACUCUUGUUAUUUAGCAUAUUUUAACAGGUGUAGUUCAGCUGGUGAAGUAACAUUAGUGAGCAAUUUAAAUAAUGAAAGCUAAUUUUCAAUAGAAUAGAAUUGGGAAGUGAUUCUCAGGUAUGAUGCUCUUAAAAUUAUGAAUUUAUAGACAUCGCCUUCGCAAGUGAACUCAAAAAAAUU